GGCCUCAUAGCUCAGUUGGCUAGAGCAUUGGCUGUACUUAAGCCUUCCCCUUGCUAGCGUGGGUUCGAAUCCCACCGCUGCCA
rfam:Schistocephalus solidus strain NST_G2 genome assembly, scaffold: SSLN_scaffold0002941